rnacentral:rRNA from 1 species
AGCGAACGCUGGCGACAGGCUUAACACAUGCAAGUCGAACGCCCCGCAAGGGGAGUGGCAGACGGGUGAGUAACACGUGGGAACGUACCCUUUGGUUCGGAAUAACUUGGGGAAACUCAAACUAAUACCGGAUAAGCCCUUAUGGGGAAAGGUUUACUGCCGAAGGAUCGGCCCGCGUCUGAUUAGCUAGUUGGUGAGGUAAUGGCUCACCAAGGCGACGAUCAGUAGCUGGUCUGAGAGGAUGAUCAGCCACACUGGGACUGAGACACGGCCCAGACUCCUACGGGAGGCAGCAGUGGGGAAUAUUGGACAAUGGGGGCAACCCUGAUCCAGCCAUGCCGCGUGAGUGAUGAAGGCCUUAGGGUUGUAAAGCUCUUUUACCCGGGACGAUAAUGACUGUACCGGGAGAAUAAGCCCCGGCUAACUUCGUGCCAGCCGCCGCUGUAA